AACGAACGCUGGCGGCAGGCUUAACACAUGCAAGUCGAGCGCCCCGCAAGGGGAGCGGCAGACGGGUGAGUAACGCGUGGGAAUCUACCGAGCCCUAAGGAAUAGCUCCGGGAAACUGGAAUUAAUACCUUAUACGCCCUUUGGGGGAAAGAGUUAUCGGGGUUUGAUGAGCCCGCGUUGGAUUAGCUAGUUGGUGGGGUAAAGGCCUACCAAGGCGACGAUCCAUAGCUGGUCUGAGAGGAUGAUCAGCCACAUUGGGACUGAGACACGGCCCAAACUCCUACGGGAGGCAGCAGUGGGGAAUAUUGGACAAUGGGCGCAAGUCUGAUCCAGCCAUGCCGCGUGAGUGAUGAAGGCCUUAGGGUUGUAAAGCUCUUUCACCGGUGAAGAUAAUGACGGUAACCGGAGAAGAAGCCCCGGCUAACUUCGUGCCAGCAGCCGCCGUAAUAC
rnacentral:rRNA from 1 species